GCAUCCUCUGUGCCCCUCCAUGCGCUUCCCACAGCGAGUCCGCCCAGGGAGGCCGCACUCCCAGCAUGCUCUCGGUGCAGCUGUGGGUUGCUAUACUGCUGCCGUCUAGUGGGGAGGGUGAUAAAGAAACAGCAGAAAAGUUCCCACUCUGCAUCUCUCCACUAUGGUCAGUAACUGCCCCCAGACCUGGAGGAGCUGUCCAGGCCUCAGAGCACCAGGCAGCAUGGUUAACACACAGCAAGGCAGCGUGGUUGCUCUCAGAGGAAAGACAGAGAACAUAGACCCAGUUCCCUCCUUCCUGGCACAGGCAGCCCAGCUUCCCAUGCUCACACGUGAUCCCAGGGCUGACUCACGGGGAGGUGGCUUUCAAGGCUAGCAAUUAGCUUCUGACCUUUAACAGGCCCUGGGACAGAUGCAAACAAGAACACAGUGGGGAACCAGGAGAGCCACAAGCCCCUCUUGGAGCUGGGAAAGGCCCCUCCCAUACCUUGCCAUCCAUCUCACAUCCCCUUCCUCCUCCAUGGUCUGUCUGGGGUGUUGGGAUGGUGUCAAAUUAGUGUGGCCAUACUGAAUGAUGAUGAAUGAAUGGUGUGAGCAUAUGUGACACUCUAUCUUGGGGGAAACACCCUGCACCCCUAUGUUCAUCCUUAUGAUUGUAUGGAAUCCAAUGCAAAGUUUGCCAUGGUGGAUGUCUUCAGAAGGCUCAUGAUGCACUGAGUAUUAUCGUGAUAGUGAUGUUAUAGCUUGUAAUUUCAUGUACAUGAGUUAUGAGGCUGAAAAUGUGCCCUCGUGUCUUAAAACAAGCCCAGGCAAAACUCUCCAGAAACAGAGAGGCAGUUCACACCUCAUCAGGGCGUGUAUGGGACAAACCCAGCCCAGCCUCACAGGAACAAUGGACACUGGCCUAGGCAACAACAAAGGAUCUGUUUGGACUCUGGAGUGAGUCACCCCCUUCUUUUGGUCAGUUUGGGACUGGAAUGAGACAUCACCACCAAGCGACUGAAGCGCUGAUCAAAGGGGAGAGCCUGCCUGAAGAGCAACCAGCCAGCUUGUGGUGAGAAGCAACUAAGCUUAAGCUGUUCCGCAUAUAGAAGAAUUGCUACAGGAUUUAAAAGAACAAGAAGUGGUGGUGGAGUGCCAAAGUCCAUACAAUUCUCUGCUCUGGCCUGUGUGGAAAGUGGAUGGAAGGUGAUGCCUCACAAUUCAUUAUAGAAAAAUCAAUGCAGCUAUAGUCGCUAUGGCACCAAUAGUAGCUAAUCUCCCAGCUAUACUGGGUGGAAUAGCUGCAGCUGCUAAAUGAUUCUCUGUAUUGGAUAUUGCUGUUUCUUUGCCAUUCCAUUAACCCGAGAGUCAGCCUCGAUUUGCUUGUACAUUCCUGAACAAACAGUUGACAUUUCAACGUGUCCCCGGGGGUACCAUGAUGCUCCAGCUACAGCACAUGCACAUGUGACAAGGGUGUGGGAUCAACUCCCUGAUUUGGAUAAGCCGUGGGUUGCUUCUUAUGUGGAUGACAUACCGAUAAUAGCUGUUCCCAGGAGGAGUGUAAACAUCUAACUAAGCUGGUCCUGGCAGUAGGGGAGAAAACAGGUUUUAAAUUAUCUUGGGACAAGGCACAGCUGGUACAACAAGAAGUUGAAUACUUAAGUAUAUCUUGGAACAGUGGUAAAAGCAUUAUUAUUAAUUAUGGGAAUCCAACAAAAAUGGCAUAUAGUCUACCACCCACAGCGUGCAGGAAAAGUGGAAAGGAAGGAUAGAAAAAUAAAAACAGCCUUGACCAAGCAAAUUCAAACACAAGGCUGAGCCUGGGAAACUGCUUUACCCACAAUCCUGAUGACCAUGAGAGCCUUGGGACAAGCUGAAAGGAAAUACUCACCUUUUGAGCUAAUGACAGGUCGAGCUAGGAGGACUCCUGAAUUCCUAUUCCCACCUAGAAAACAGAUACCUGAAUGGGUGCGAAAGAAAUGGGAAAUUGGAAUAGAAAGGAGGUAACCUCACCAUGAAUUUACCGUGGAAAAAUAGUUGGUGGGGAUUAUAUGAAAUAAACCAAGAUAUAUGUUGGCAUCGAAAGGAAAAGGGUAAUGUAACAAUAAGCAACCAAACCUGGUUUAUGGACUAAGGGAUGUGGUACACUACUGGAGAUAUAACUCAUUUUCAGUACAAACAAUAUCAAUGGCACCCUCAAAUGACUAAAACCUUUAUGACUCACCCUAAAUUAACAUUGCCAAAUUUGAGGGAAAUAGAGUGGAUUGAUACAGAUUGGGAUAUGGAGAUGCAAACUAAUCAAGGCACGCUGGACCAAAUAGAACGGUCAACUAAACUAAUAAUAUCUGUAAAAGGCAUGCUUGCUCGAAAGUAGAAAAUUGUUGAAAAAGCUGUAGAAAAAAAAUCUCAAAUGUGUGCUUGGUAUGAUGUAUGUCAAGUCACAACAUGGAAUGGAAUUAAAUGGUCAAUGUUAUUUCUGGAACUGCCAUAUUAUUCCUUGUAUGUUUCUGUUGUGGAUAUCAGAUGUGUGAGCAAUACAAGGAAAUGCAAGCUUUGUGAAAAUUUAUAAGAUUGAGUUGUUGGAUUAUGCUGCUAAUCAUCGUAAAAUAAUGCUUUAAAUUUUAUAGAAACCAGAAAAGGAGACACAUGAUCUAAUAGUUAGUGUACAAAUUGCAGGUAUGAUUGAUGUGAUAUUACAAUUAUCUUUGGUAAUUGAAUAUUGAAUGGGGCACUGUUGGGAUGCGCCAAAUUGGUGUGGCCAGGCUGAAUGAAUGGUGUGAGUUUAACUUAACAUGUCGUAAACAUGGCUGAAGGGCUGCAGAGGAUCCUGGGAGCAGGGUCCCUUUAAGCAGAUUUGAUAAAGGACUGGCAAAGUCUGCAUGUAUAAUCAAUAUUGAACCUACUGGUCAGCAAAUAUGGGCCCAUGCAAAAGUCAAUAUCACAUGUAUAAAGUUCCAGCAUGGAGCACAGGUUGAUCUGGUUGUAGUGACCUUACAGCAAGGAGAGGCAGUGAAUGACAGGAUGCGUGAGUAAACGUGGGGUGAUUUUCGUUCGGUACCACCACCACCCAGCCCCUUCUAAAAUACUAAUCAGAUAAAAUUAGUAACCACACACCCACUGGGCAUGCUUUUAAGACAUGUGACUCCUUUGAGGAAAAAGAGUAAGAAUCAAGUAAAGUAAAUUACUGUGGUUGGGAUUCCGUAAUUGACGCUUGAAGAAGCAAUGAGCCAGACAGAGUAGCCAAACCUCUGCUCCGUGGGCUUGAGUAGGACUGUGAUCCACAGAGGUCUCAAGGCAGAAGGCCUUGUCUCCAGGAAAUCUGAGACAAACCAGAGGGCUGAGAAUAACAGACCGGCAGAGAAGAAGCCAUCUAUAAAAUGGUAACCAUCUUCUCUGUUUGCCAAGCAAAAACUGCAUGAGGCUAGUGCAGGGCCUGUUUGUGUAUGUUUGUGAAAGAGAGACUCGUUAAGAGGAAUGUAUAACUCUUAAUAUCUAACAUAAGAGUUAUGUGCUUAAUAUAACCCUUUAUCGCUUGUGUAAUUCCUUCUCAAUAAACUGCUGUAUAUUGAAGGUAAUUACUGUGGACCUUUUUCACUGGUAUGAGUAAUCUUCUCCACCGGGAGCCAGUAAAGGUCCAUUUCAGGGGUAGUAGCGCCCCCUUUUGUCAACAUGGGGGCUACCCUGUCCCCUCCCUGAUCAGAGUCCCCUCCUGGGAACGCUCAGCACCCUCCAUUCUCAUUGUCUUCUGAGGGCAUCCAGCACCAUGCAGGAUUGGGCCUCAGCUUCCCUGCCGUGGCAGAUCCAGGAGCACCGAGUUCCCAUUAAGCUAAGAGAAGUAAAGGCAUGGAAGUUAUUUCAGGGAACUCCUCCAUGCCUUCCUUCCCCCAUUGUCUCAGCACCUUCCUGGAACAGACACAAGAAAAGCAGCCCAGCUUUCCAAACACCAACAGCCCAAGGCCGCCAGUGAAUUAACCCAGCA